AAAAGUAUUUCUUUAUGUUGGGGCCCCGCCAACUUGCAUUGUUUGUAGAAUUUCUUUUCGAAAUUCUUUAUGUUGGGGCCCCGCCAACUUGCAUUGUUUGUAGAAUUUCUUUUCGAAAUUCUUUAUGUUGGGGCCCCGCCAACUAAUUCCAAUAUAUCAUUGUAGAGCUUAGGUCAUUGAUUUUU
rnacentral:ncRNA from 1 species